rnacentral:pre_miRNA from 1 species
UUAGCUCAUAUUUGUAUGGAAUGGGAUCGUUUGCGUACGUUUGCCGCUAGGGGCGCUGUUCCAACUGCAUACAAAAUUGGGUAA